rnacentral:tRNA from 1 species
AGUUACUUGGCUGACAGGAAAGCUCGUGUUUUGAAAGCUCGUUAUAGAGGUUCGAAUCCUCUAGUAACUU